rnacentral:rRNA from 1 species
UACAGAGGGUGCGAGCGUUGUUCGGAAUUACUGGGCGUAAAGCGCGCGCAGGCGGCCUUUUAAGUCUGACGGUGAAAUGCCGGGGCUCAACCCCGUGCCCGCCGGAGAUACUGGGAGGCUGGAGACGAGUAGAGGCAAGCGGAAUUCCCGGUGUAGCGGUGAAAUGCGCAGAUAUCGGGAGGAACACCUAUGGCGAAGGCAGCUCGCUGGGACGUUACUGACGCUGAGACGCGAAAGCGUGGGGAGCAAACAGG